UACAGAGGGUGCGAGCGUGUCCGGAAUCACUGGGCGUAAAGGGCGCGUAGGCGGCUUGAUAAGCGUGCGGUGAAAGCCCGGGGCUCAACCCCGGGUCGGCCGUGCGAACUGUCGAGCUGGAGCACUGUAGAGGCAGGUGGAAUUCCUGGUGUAGCGGUGAAAUGCGCAGAUAUCAGGAAGAACACCCGUGGCGAAGGCGGCUCUCUGGGACGGUACUGACGCUGAGACGCGAAAGCGUGGGAGCGAACCG
rnacentral:rRNA from 1 species